UAACGCGUGGGUAACCUGCCUUAUACAGGGGGAUAACAGUUAGAAAUGACUGCUAAUACCGCAUAAGCGCACAGUACCGCAUGGUACGGUGUGAAAAACUCCGGUGGUAUAAGAUGGACCCGCGUCUGAUUAGCCAGUUGGCGGGGUAACGGCCCACCAAAGCGACGAUCAGUAGCCGACCUGAGAGGGUGACCGGCCACAUUGGGACUGAGACACGGCCCAGACUCCUACGGGAGGCAGCAGUGGGGAAUAUUGCACAAUGGGGGAAACCCUGAUGCAGCAACGCCGCGUGAGUGAAGAAGUAUUUCGGUAUGUAAAGCUCUAUCAGCAGGGAAGAAGAUGACGGUACCUGACCAAGAAGCCCCGGCUAACUACGUGCCAGCAGCCGCGGUAAUACGUAGGGGGCAAGCGUUAUCCGGAUUUACUGGGUGUAAAGGGAGCGCAGACGGCAGUGCAAGUCUGGAGUGAAAGCCCGGGGCCCAACCCCGGAACUGCUCUGGAAACUGUGCGGCUAGAGUACUGGAGGGGCAGGCGGAAUUCCUAGUGUAGCGGUGAAAUGCGUAGAUAUUAGGAGGAACACCAGUGGCGAAGGCGGCCUGCUGGACUGCAACUGACGUUGAGGCCCGAAAGCGUGGGGAGCANACAGGAUUAGAUACCCUGGUAGUCCACGCUGUAAACGAUGGAUACUAGGUGU
rnacentral:rRNA from 1 species